ACUUUCUUUGUGGUAGAAUUACAUAGCGUGGCGUCAGUUUGUAACGCCAUUUUGAAGUUGGUCGCGACUUUUGUUUCAGGAGUGCCAUACGAUUUACAGUGAGUUACCGCAAGAGACGGUAGUUUUUCAGCCAAGGCACCCACAGCCGUAAUAUAUUGUUCAGUGGGUUAAGUGAGCUGAUGAAAAGUCUGCGUCGAGAAGAGUUGUGAGAAGGGAUUUCAUAGGCAGUCAAAGGUUUGCCACAGUAAGAGAGUGUCUCUGGGACAACAACUGAUCACAGCACACAGACAUCAGUUGAAACCUAUGAUGAACCCUAAGCGCGGUGGUUCGUUAGUUAUGAUGCGAUUCCAUGAGCAACCAGUAAGGCGGGAAUCCGAAGAUUUGGAAGCAGCAUUCGACGGGUUCAAGGAUGAAUCGUUUGCAGGAUUUCCGGAUGUACCACUUGUACCAGAACCGAAUAACACAUCUAAGAAGUCGAAUAGGAUUAUUCGAAGCCCAAUACUGACAAGAAGUUGUACGCGAUCGAGACAGCGUGAAACAUUAGGCGAAUGCUCAAAGGACUUAUAAACAAAAGAAAAGAAACAGAGUAUAUAAUAUUACUAAUUAAAGCAUGAUAACGUAUUCGAUGAAAUUUACCUACGGCACAUAAAGUGCUAUCGAAGUGAAUAUUUAAAUAUAUUAUUAAGUUAGUUAUAGGUGGUGAAAUAAGAAUGUCUCCUCUUCAGAAGGAAGGAUUGUAAUAUAACAGUUUUAGAUUCUGUUCUCUGAAUUGUCAGUUUCAAAUAUUUCGAUAAAACUGUGAACCCUGUAUAAAGAGAAAGAUCAUAGAAAAUAUGAGCAGAGCUCAGUUGCUUUUCGAGU